rnacentral:rRNA from 1 species
CCUCCGGGAAACCAAAGUCUUUGGGUUCCGGGGGAAGUAUGGUUGCAAAGCUGAAACUUAAAGGAAUUGACGGAAGGGCACCACCAGGAGUGGAGCCUGCGGCUUAAUUUGACUCAACACGGGAAACCUCACCAGGCCCGGACACCAAAAGGAUUGACAGAUUGAGAGCUCUUUCUUGAUUUGGUGGGUGGUGGUGCAUGGCCGUUCUUAGUUGGUGGAGCGAUUUGUCUGGUUAAUUCCGAUAACGAACGAGACUCUAGCCUGUUAACUAGCCGGUGGAUCAAUAAAUUGAUAUGCGGCGAAGCGGUGUUGCUACUCUUCGGGGUGCAUCCUGCAUAGUCGCGUCCACCGAGUCUUCUUAGAGGGACAGGCGGCGUUUAGCCGCACGAGACGGAGCAAUAACAGGUCUGUGAUGCCCUUAGAUGUCCUGGGCCGCACGCGCGCUACACUGAAGGAGUCAACGUGCACUCCCAGCCCGAGAGGGCCGGGUAACCCGCUGAAAUUCCUUCGUGAUUGGGAUCGGGGUUUGCAACUAUCCCCCGUGAACGAGGAAUUCCCAGUAAGUCGCGAGUCAUGAGYCUCGYCGUUGAUUACGUCCCUGCCCUUUGUWCACACCRYCCCGUCGUCUACUACCGAUUGAAUGAUUUAGUGAGGUCUUUGGACUGGUCUCGUCCGGUGUCGUGUCCACUUGUGGUCAUCGUGUCUGGUUAUCGGGCCGGGAAGUCUGGCC